CUGGGCGGCGGGAUUCAGGAUGACUGGGCGUGUAUGCGCGCGUCUGGUCGUUUGAUUUUUCCGUCGCCAACGUUUGACAGACGUUGCGACCUGUUCGUCGUCGGUCCUUGCUCGGAGGAACCGCGUUCGAGUUCGUUGCGGGGUGCGUUUACGCGUGCCACGCGGCGAAGGCGCGGACUUCUGGCCGGCUGACGGACAGUAAGAAGUGGUGGCCGGUGUCGUCGUUUCGUGCGCGCGGCAUCGGUACCGGUCGGCGACGAUUUCUUCGGGCCUCUUUCCGACCCGUCUUGAAACACGGACCAAGGAGUCUAACGUGCGCGCGAGUCGCGGGGUGUCGAGUGCGCUUCGGCGCGCUCGUUACGUUGCGAAACCCGUACACGUUGAAGGCGUAAUGAAAGUGAAUGGGGAAGAUGGCGUUCCGAGUACACGUUCCGCGGUCAGGUACCGCGGCCGGACACCCGCAUUCCCGGGGCGUCUCAACGGCCCGUCGCGGAUGCAGGCGGUCGUCCUUCGGGGCGGCCGUCGGUCUGCGACGAGCCGAGGCGCACCUAUAGCGUGCACGUUGGUACCCGAAAGAUGGUGAACUAUGCCUGGCCAGGAUGAAGUCAGGGGAAACCCUGAUGGAGGUCCGAAGCGAUUCUGACGUGCAAAUCGAUCGUCUGAGCUGGGU
rnacentral:rRNA from 1 species